GAUGAAGAACGCAGCGAAAUGCGAUAAGUAAUGUGAAUUGCAGAAUUCAGUGAAUCAUCGAAUCUUUGAACGCACAUUGCGCCCCCUGGUAUUCCGGGGGGCAUGCCUGUUCGAGCGUCAUUUCACCACUCAAGCCUCGCUUGGUAUUGGGCAACGCGGUCCGCCGCGUGCCUCAAAUCGACCGGCUGGGUCUUCUGUCCCCUAAGCGUUGUGGAAACUAUUCGCUAAAGGGUGUUCGGGAGGCUACGCCGUAAAACAACCCCAUUUCUAAGGUUGACCUCGGAUCAGGUAGGGAUACCCGCUGAACUUAAGCUUAUCAAUAAGCGGAGGA
rnacentral:misc_RNA from 1 species